rnacentral:rRNA from 1 species
AUGAAUUCCUUGUCGCGGAAUGCCGCCCUAGUCUCUCCUUGCUGCUUCCCCACCGGCAUCAGGAGGAACCUCCAGAGCAUUCCUGACACCAUCGAUGGUAUCCUGGAAGAGAUCAUCGACCACAGAGAGCAAAUCCUCAAGAGUGGCAGGUCAACCGCGUCUAAGAAGAACUUGGUGAAAGUUCUCCUUGGCCUCCAUCACCCGCUCAACUGUCAAAGCAGUUAUCUACUACUACUGCUGCUGCUGCUAUUGCUACCACUGAUACUAUUGCUGCAGUACAAUUUUAGUAGUAAUACAAUAUUCCAUAAGAUUUUUACGCCUCAGUAUUCAUUUAGAUUAUUUAAAAAAAAAAUUUCAUGCCUCAACACUUGUCUAUACAAAACAUAUAUGCGAGUAAAUUGCAAAAAACCACCACAGUUGAGGACGCUAAAUCAAAAAAUCACCACCUUUCGAGUUUUUUUAUCAAAAAACCGCCAAAAUUGUGCUGACAGUUUUCAGAAAACACUGAUUGACUAA